UACGGGAAGGCAGCAGUGGGGAAUAUUGCACAAUGGGCGCAAGCCUGAUGCAGCCAUGCCGCGUGUAUGAAGAAGGCCUUCGGGUUGUAAAGUACUUUCAGUCGUGAGGAAGGUGUUAAGGUUAAUAACCUUAGCAAUUGACGUUAGCGACAGAAGAAGCACCGGCUAACUCCGUGCCAGCAGCCGCGGUAAUACGGAGGGUGCGAGCGUUAAUCGGAAUUACUGGGCGUAAAGGGCACGCAGGCGGUUAAUUAAGUUGGAUGUGAAAUCCCCGGGCUUAACCUGGGAAUGGCAUUCAAGACUGGUUAGCUAGAGUCUUGUAGAGGGGGUAGAAUUCCAUGUGUAGCGGUGAAAUGCGUAGAGAUGUGGAGGAAUACCGGUGGCGAAGGCGGCCCCUGGACAAAGACUGACGCUCAUGUGCGAAAGCGUGGGGAGCAAACAGGGAUUAGAU
rnacentral:rRNA from 1 species